GCCAGCAGCCAUAUCACCCUGCAAUUCACAACUGGCAGUUCACUAAAGCUAAGCAGGUGUGAGCCUGGCCAGUACCUGGAUGGGAGACCUCCUUGGAAAAACUAAGGUUGCUGCUGGAA
rnacentral:rRNA from 1 species